GGGGCGGUAGCUCAGCUGGUCAGAGCAGGGGACUCAUAAUCCCUUGGUCCGGGGUUCGAGCCCCCGCCGCCCUA
rnacentral:tRNA from 1 species